UUCAGAACAACUACUAGUUGAAUAAGACAUGGGAGAGAUCACGAAUUCUGGUAAAGAGAUAGCAAAUAGCCAAACCGAAAAUUGCAGACAUUAUUAGUGCCUCCCCGGCGAUCAAACCAACAUAAAAAAAAUAAAAUGAAACGCAGUUUAAAACGUGAACAGAAAUCUCAAAUAGCAAGCAAGUCGUAGCAAUGAAGAAUUGAGUGCGUGCGCGUUCAAGCAAGUCGCAGCAAUGAAGAAGUAAGUGCGUGCGCGUUCACGCGAAGGAGGGGGAGUGAAUUCUGGCAGUGGGGAGCUUUUCGGCACAGCACCGGUAUUGGCAACGUCAAACCGAAGAGGAAAAUCAGGAGCAACUUGACGUGAACACCAGGCACACUGCUGCCCUUUGUGGUCUCCCCAUCUACCUUUGUGAGGAAACCACUGGAAUGUGGAGGAAACUGAAGAGCCAGACAUUAGACACACCUGUCGCUCUCCUCAUAGUCGUCAGCGAGACCUAAGCUGAUCAUGUCCAGUUCAACUCAGCAAGGAUUGCUGUUGUGCUAGCUAGAAGGUGACAUUGUAAUGAAUGAUGUCCCCAGGUUGGCUGAUGCAAUUAUGUUGUUAUUUGGUUUGAUUUACGAGUUAUCCCAAGCAUCUGAUCCACACUUUUGACUUAAUAAAAAAAGUCCUGAUGGGCUUGGAUAAUGGGAAAAUGCUUAAGCCCAAGCUUUUGUCUCUGAAAAAAAGACCUAUUGAAGCAAGAUGAAUGAUUUAUGGGUAUUUGCAUUUACAGGUAUUUACCAUCAUUGAGGUUGUCUCCAACUCAUGCCCUUACAUGGCUGCAAGGCCUUUCUCGUAGAUAAAUCUUUAAUGUGUGGCUCCACAUUGUCCCAUCAUUGCCUUGUUAAUCGCAGCAUAGCCUCACAUAGACAGUUUUUCCAAUCGAAAACCCUACAUUCUUUAGAAGUUGUAAAUGUUUUCCUUUCAUUGUCAUUGAUGUUUGACAUGAACCAGGUCCAGUGGGUGUUAUUUUUGACCACACAAAUGUUUUAGCUGUUCUGCCCUUCAGUAGAACUCAAUAGAAAGAGAGAUGGCUCUUUCUGUACUGCCGCUGUCAGUCAGCAUGUAAACAAUGUGGAGAGCUUGAUGAGAUAAGCGAGUUGAGUUGAGAUUUGAUAUCCACUCCAAAUAAAGUUGUAACAUACACUAUAUUCUGAAUGUAAUGUAGGUAAGCGAGAGAGGUCAUGUGCACUAAAAUAAAGCUGGCACAUAUGUUCUAAAAUGUAUUACAACGGUUGUAACAGUUAAUGGCUUUUGAUCAUGGCUGCAGCUUUAAUGUGUGGCUACUAUUUGGAUAGUCCAUCUGUAGAUGGUUAAUUCAGCAUCUAUAGACCAACAUAUCAGCAGAGAAGCAGUUGACAUUUUCUUAGUUUCUUGAUAGUUUGAGCAUCUACAUGGGACUAUCCAAAUACUGUUACAGAAAAUUCUAAAUUCUUUAACCAGGUUUCCAUCCAACCAUUUCAUGCUAGAGCGCACAUAAAGACUACAUGAUGAGAUUGGACAAAAGAGCGAGAUUGUUUUAUUUGUCUGCAGCCAAGCAUCAAUGAUCAUGUGGGUUCGAUUCCCGGGACCACCCAUACGUAGAAUGUAUGCACACAUGACUGUAAGUCGCUUUGGAUAAAAGCGUCUGCUAAAUGGCAUAUAUUAUCAUUUCUCCAGAAUGCAACCCUUGAUAUUCAUUGGAAAGAAGCAUCAAGUGCAUGUCACGAUCGUUUGAUGAAUAAAUGGACCAAGGCGCAGUGUGCGUAGAGUUCCAAAUGUUUAAUAAAUGAAAUUCACCAAAACAAUACAGAACAAACUAAAUGUCCAGCUAAUGGCGUGCUUACAGGCAACUAACCAAAAAACAAGAUCCCACAAAGCACAA